rnacentral:rRNA from 1 species
UACGGGGGGGCAAGCGUUGUUCGGAAUUACUGGGCGUAAAGGGCUCGUAGGCGGCCAACUAAGUCGGACGUGAAAUCCCUCGGCUUAACCGGGGAACUGCGUCCGAUACUGGAUGGCUUGAGUUCGGGAGAGGGAUGCGGAAUUCCAGGUGUAGCGGUGAAAUGCGUAGAUAUCAGGAGGAACACCGAUGGCGAAGGCAGGUCUCUGGGCUGACACUGACGCUCAUGCACGAAAGCGUGGGGAGCAAACAGG